rnacentral:lncRNA from 1 species
GGUGGCGGCCGAAGGGGAUUGGCGGCGAGCGCGGGGCAGAGCUGUGUGGGGAGCACGGGGAGGCGCGCGGAGCAGAGGGCAGGCGGCGCCGGUGAGACGGAGCCGAGCUGGCAGCGCGCGACAGAGAGCAGAGGAGGGGGCGAGCGGGAGGAAGAAGAAGAAGGGGAGAAGACGAGCGGCGGCGGCCAGGAAAGAAAGAAAAAGAAGGAAAAAGAAAAAGAGAGGAGGGGCUUAAAAAGCUAGUGUUAGGGUUUGCUAGGUGGGCUUUUGGGCCAACAAAAGUCUCACACAAAAAUACAAGUUUUGCAAAUUUAGUUUUCGCAAUAAGGAUAAGAGGCAAGAUGGAGGUCUAAUUAAACCCGGAUUUAUUUUGUCAAACUCAAAUUAGAUUUUCUACAAAAAUAAUUUUAGGCUUUCGCGAACACGCGAAAAGGCAAACACAUUAAAAACAGCUUCGUGUA